rnacentral:rRNA from 1 species
UACGGAGGGGGCUAGCGUUGUUCGGAAUUACUGGGCGUAAAGCGCCCGUAGGCGGUUUGUUAAGUCGGGGGUGAAAUCCCGGGGCUCAACCCCGGAAUUGCCUUCGAUACUGGCAAGCUAGAGUUCGGGAGAGGUGAGUGGAAUUCCUAGUGUAGAGGUGAAAUUCGUAGAUAUUAGGAAGAACACCGGUGGCGAAGGCGGCUCACUGGCCCGGCACUGACGCUGAGGGUCGAAAGCUUGGGGAGCAAACAGG